rnacentral:rRNA from 1 species
AUUGAACGCUGGCGGCAUGCCUUACACAUGCAAGUCGAACGGCAGCGCGGACUUCGGUCUGGCGGCGAGUGGCGAACGGGUGAGUAAUACAUCGGAACGUACCCUGUUGUGGGGGAUAACUAGUCGAAAGAUUAGCUAAUACCGCAUACGACCUGAGGGUGAAAGUGGGGGAUCGCAAGGCCUCACGCAGCAGGAGCGGCCGAUGUCUGAUUAGCUAGUUGGUGGGGUAAAGGCCCACCAAGGCGACGAUCAGUAGCUGGUCUGAGAGGACAAUCAGCCACACUGGGACUGAGACACGGCCCAGACUCCUACGGGAGGCAGCAGUGGGGAAUUUUGGACAAUGGGGGCAACCCUGAUCCAGCAAUGCCGCGUGUGUGAAGAAGGCCUUCGGGUUGUAAAGCACUUUUGUCCGGAAAGAAAUCGCGCUGGUUAAUACCUGGCGUGGAUGACGGUACCGGAAGAAUAAGCACCGGCUAACUACGUG